CCUACGGGGUGCAGCAGUGGGGAAUAUUGGGCAAUGGGCGCAAGCCUGACCCAGCAACGCCGCGUGAAGGAAGAAGGCUUUCGGGUUGUAAACUUCUUUUGAUAGGGAAGAGCAGAACACGGUACCUGUCGUAUAAGCCACGGCUCACUACGUGCCAGCAGCCGCGGUAAUACGUAGGUGGCAAGCGCUUUUCGGAUUUACUGGGUGUAAAGGGCGUGUAGCCGGGCGGAAAAGUCAGAUGUGAAACCCUGGGGUUCAACCCCCGAACUGCAUUUGAAACUGUUGGUCUUGAGUAUGGGAGAGGCAGGGGGAAUUCUUGGUGUAGCGGUGAAAUGCGUAGAUAUUAGGAGGAACACCAAUGGCGAAGGCGGCCUGCUGGACGACAACUGACGGUGAGGCGCGAAAGCGUGGGGAGCAAACAGGAUUAGAUACCCCUGUAGUC
rnacentral:rRNA from 1 species